UUCUCCAGGCAAGAAAACUGGAAUGGGUUGCCAUGCUCUCCUCUAGGGACUCUUCCUCCAGGGGAUCUUCCCAACCCAGAGGUCUAACCUGUGUCUUUUGUGGUCCUGCAUUGCAGGCAGAUUCUUUACUGCUGACUCACCAGGAAGGCCCAAAAUCUCAUGUAGUUAAAGUAGAAUGGAAUUGUCAACAGGACUGAACUUCCCAAAUAUAUUUCUAAGGUGUCUUAGCUAAAUAUGACAUUUUAGGGAAAUAAGGCCAGUAGUUUCCUUCUUCCACUAACCCUGCCCUUUGGUAACCAAUCUCACCAAAAGAUCCUCCCUGAAAAACUUUUCUGCCUGACUCAUCUGGUGGGUUUGCUUCCCUUUAGCCCUGUCUGCUGUCUCAAUCAAACCUUCUUUCCUGGACAGGCACCUCGAUUUCCUACUUCAACAGUGCUUGGAGGGAACCUACCUCCUCAAAUCCACUCCAGCACCGUGCAGCCCCAGGUCUCAACUCAUCGUGAGGAUAGUGGCCAUCUCACUGGUGCGCCAGAACUACCACAGGGACUCGGAGACUGCCAUCAACCACCAGCCGGGAGCUCUUCACCUUCUAUGGCUACCUGUCCAUGUCAUAUGGCUUUGACCUUUAUGAUGCGGCUUUGGAGAACUUUGCCAAAUAUGUUCCUCUCCAAUUUCAUGAUGCGAGGGCACUUACUGAGAAGCUGGAGAAGCUUGAUAUCCUUCAGGAUAUCAAGAAAGCCAGUCACGAAGAGUGGGUUAACUGCAAUGGAAUGUGCCAUACUCUUCGGAAAAGUUAUAGAUCCAUCUCCACUGGAAUGGGCACAAAAUGCCCACUGACAAUAAUGAC
ensembl:lncRNA